CGGCGUCACGAGUGGCAAUCACGUUUAUUGGGUCUAAAGCGUUCGUAGCCGGUUUAAUAAAUCUUUUGUGAAAUUGUCGGGCUUAACCUGACACCGUGCAGAAGACACUGCUAAACUAGAGACCGGGAGGGGUUAGAAGUAUUUCAGGGGGAGCGGUAAAAUGUUAUAAUCCCUGAAAGACUACCAAUGGCGAAGGCAUCUAACCAGAACGGAUCUGACGGUGAGGAACGAAGGCUAGGGGAGCGAACCGGAUUAGAUACCCGAGUAGUCC
rnacentral:rRNA from 1 species